AGCAGCCGCGGUAAUUCCAGCUCCAAUAGCGUAUAUUAAAGUUGUUGCAGUUAAAAAGCUCGUAGUUGAAUUUCGGGAUUGACACAUCGGUCGUGCCUUAAGGGGUAUGAACUGGUGUAGUCAAUUUCUCACCUUCUGGAGAACCGCGAUGCCCUUAAUUGGGUGUCGCGGGGAACCAGGACCUUUACUUUGAAAAAAUUAGAGUGUUUAAAGCAGGCAUUUUGCUUGAAUACAUUAGCAUGGAAUAAUAAAAUAGGACGGCAUGAUUCUAUUUUGUUGGUUUCUAGGAUCACCGUAAUGAUUAAUAGGGAUAGUUGGGGGCAUUAGUAUUCAAUUGUCAGAGGUGAAAUUCUUGGAUUUACUGAAGACUAACUACUGCGAAAGCAUUUGCCAAGGAUGUUUUCAUUAAUCAAGAACGAAAGUUAGGGGAUCGAAGACGAUCAGAUACCGUCGUAGUCUUAACCAUAAACUAUGCCGACUAGGAAUCAGACGAUGUUAAUUUUUUAAUGACUCGUUUGGU
rnacentral:misc_RNA from 1 species